UACGUAGGUCCCGAGCGUUGUCCGGAUUUAUUGGGCGUAAAGCGAGCGCAGGUGGUUUAUUAAGUCUGGUGUAAAAGGCAGUGGCUCAACCAUUGUAUGCAUUGGAAACUGGUAGACUUGAGUGCAGGAGAGGAGAGUGGAAUUCCAUGUGUAGCGGUGAAAUGCGUAGAUAUAUGGAGGAACACCGGUGGCGAAAGCGGCUCUCUGGUCUGUAACUGACGCUGAGGAGCGAAAGCGUGGGGAGCGAACAGG
rnacentral:rRNA from 1 species